rnacentral:tRNA from 1 species
AGAAAGAAUAUCGGAACUGCUAAUUCCACAUACCAUAUCUAACUCUAUGGCUUUCUU